CUGGUACAUAGUAGGCAGUCGUUAAAUUUCUGUUUGAUGAGUGAGUGACAGCUGUCACAGUAAUGAUAAGGCUGAAUGGAGCUGGCCAAAGAUAGAACGGUAGGUCAGGAGUCUGGGGAGCCCCGCACAGACAGUGUCAAAGAAAGGGUCACCUAGUGAAGAGAACAGCCUGCUAAGUCAUAUCAACCAUGAUGGCUUGGUAGCUGUGGUAGCUGUUGGCACCAGGGGCUUCCUGGGUUUUUCUGUGUACCUAACACCUAUCUCUGCUUCUCUUCACUCUGCUCUUCAGCCCCACUCAGGGCCUGUUUGCACUGGAAAAAAAAUGGGUCAUUGGUUCUGUUAAUCCCACCACUCGAGAAUAAAACCACUACCACAAUUUAAAGCCAAAUUUGAAGCAAGCUUUAAAAUACAUGCCUGGAAGAUGGACUCUGGCCAGGUCCACCCUUGAGUUCCCAAGAAAAUGGUCACAAGUCACAUUUUGCUGGGACUUAAAAGAUUUAGCCUGUUUCAUAUUGAAUCUGGAAUCUGGAAUGUUCCCCGCAAACGUUCAUGUGUUGAAAACUUGGUCAGCAGAUGCGAGUGUCAUUCAGAGGUUGGUGGGAAUGUCAAGAUGUCUGUCUCAUUGGAAGUAGGAUGGACGUGGACCUUGACACAUAGUAGGCACUCAACUAAGUCAAGCUGAGAAAAUGAAAAUAAGCAUCUCUCUUGGACCUUACUUACACUGGAGCAUG